rnacentral:rRNA from 1 species
AGCGAACGCUGGCGGCAGGCCUAACACAUGCAAGUCGAACGAACUCUUCGGAGUUAGUGGCGGACGGGUGAGGAACACGUGGGAACGUGCCUUUUGGUUCGGAAUAACUCAGGGAAACUUGUGCUAAUACCGAAUGUGCUCUUCGGGGGAAAGAUUUAUCGCCAUUAGAGCGGCCCGCGUCUGAUUAGCUGGUUGGUGAGGUAACGGCUCACCAAGGGGACGAUCAGUAGCUGGUCUGAGAGGAUGACCAGCCACACUGGGACUGAGACACGGCCCAGACUCGUACGGGAGGCAGCAGUGGGGAAUCUUGCGCAAUGGGCGAAAGCCUGACGCAGCCACGCCGGGUGAAUGAUGAAGGUCUUAGGAUUGUAAAAUUCUUUCACCGGGGACGAUAAUGACGGUACCCGGAGAAGAAGCCCCGGCUAACUUCGUG